AACCGAAGCCUCUGGAACCUAUGUCCUCCCUCUGUCCGUCUCGCCCCAGAAUCUUCCCUGCGUCCUCCUCGCCCCCUCCCUCCUGCAGAUAUUUCUCUUACCACCUGGGCAGCUGGGCAGUUGCCCCACCGUUUUGAGCAAAGUGGAGCUAUGAAGCCAGAAACCUACAAGGAUGUCCUGCUGGAGCUUGGCUUCAACCGGACUUUAACAGUUUCAUGAAAUGACCAUGAUAGACGCAGUCUGCAUCAGGAGCUGCUGAUCAACCACUGAAGUUAACCUUCAACGCAACGAUGCGGCUGUUACAGUCAAACAGCAACUCCUCAAAGGAAGAGAAAUGUCAUU